GGAGUGUCUUAAAAACCCUCUAAAACAUUUCCAAGAAAAUGUCUAACGGGAGCUGCUGACCGAGAUAGAAAACACAGUUUGUUUAUUUCUAAUAAGGAGCUGGAGGCCGUGAAGAUACAGAUCCAUGAUAUUGUGGAGAAGCAGGCCCAGAUGAGCAAGUGGAGAGCUAUGCUGGAAAUAUUCAGGAGUUGAUGCUCAUACGUCCAGGGUAAGUAUACAGCUAACCCUACUACCACCUCUACUCUGUGUGGGUCUCUGCAAAGGCCCGGUGCACCCAGGACACGAUCUUCCCAGAUGUCCUUCACCCUAUUUCACAGCGUAAGACAUGAACCAGGCCCUGGGCGAUGACCUCUCUCCAUUCGCCGCCUCCGGUCUUCAGGAUCUCCACCAGAAACCGAUUCGCUCCACUUCGCGAGACAGAACACAACGCUGUGAUCAUCAGAGACUCCAUCCUCCGGCACGUUUGCGCUAUGUUAGCUGAAGGUAAAGUCCACACUCACUGUUUCCCUGGUGCUCAUGUUCUUGAUAUUUCUGCACAGAUUCCCGUGAUCCUGAAGGGUGAGGGGGCAUCGGAGCGGACGUGCUUCAUGCUGGGGUUAACGACAACACGCUGCGGCGCAGGACCACUUCCCACAUAUAGAUGAGGACAUGAAAGGUUCAGCAGACUUUUUGCUUUAAACGAAUGGUUAUAGUCAUGCUGUAAAGAACAGAAACUGCUUUUUGUUAAUAAUUGGAAUCUUUUCUGGGAGCGUUCUAGGCUUUUUAGAUCUCCUGUUGGACAACAUCUCCAGGACACUUCGCUCCAUAUGACUAGGCAGUUUGUGAAGACAGAUAAUCAAGAGAAGUCAGUUCCAGAUCCACACCAGACCUCUCUCUCACGAGGAUUGCUGUCUACUAGCAUAUUGUGUUCUCUUCAGACUUCGGGGGAUGCAGAUAUUACUCAGGGACACGAACACUUGAAUAUUGAGUUACUUAAGAUUUUAGAAUUUAAUGUUAAUUGCUUAAACAUGAUUAGCUGAUGUAUUAUUGUGGGAGCUUGUGAUUAGUUGAUGAAUGUGUGCAUUGUUAAUGAUAAUAUUUAAAUGCAAUGUGCUGAGGGCCUACUAAGACUUGCAUGUUGUGCAUAAUGUUUUGACCCUGCAUGCUUACAGAAGGGUAUAGAUAUUUAAAUAUAUGGAAAUGUAUUUAUUAUUAAUAUAUCUCAAUCUAUGUGCUUCUGUAUGGGCUGAAUGCUUUCAUUCAUAUUUCGCUGUAUAUC